rnacentral:rRNA from 1 species
CAGUAGCCGCGGUAAUACGAAGGGGGCUAGCGUUGUUCGGAUUUACUGGGCGUAAAGGGUGCGUAGGCGGAUUGUUAAGUCAGGGGUGAAAUCCCGAGGCUCAACCUCGGAACUGCCUUUGAUACUGGCGAUCUUGAGUCCGGGAGAGGUGUGUGGAACUGCGAGUGUAGAGGUGAAAUUCGUAGAUAUUCGCAAGAACACCGGUGGCGAAGGCGGCCAUCUGGGACAACACUGACGCUGAGGCACGAAAGCGUGGGGAGCAAACAGGAUUAGAUACCCCCGUAGUCCCUGUCUCUUAUAC